UGCCCAAGAGAUCGGGAUAACACCUGGAAACAGAUGCUAAUACCGGAUAACAAUAGAUGAUGCCUAUCAACUGUUUAAAAGAUGGUUCUGCUAUCACUCUUGGAUGGACCUGCGGUGCAUUAGCUAGUUGGUAGGGUAACGGCCUACCAAGGCGAUGAUGCAUAGCCGAGUUGAGAGACUGAUCGGCCACAUUGGGACUGAGACACGGCCCAAACUCCUACGGGAGGCAGCAGGU
rnacentral:rRNA from 1 species